rnacentral:rRNA from 1 species
GACGAACGCUGGCGGCGUGCUUAACACAUGCAAGUCGAACGGAAAGGCCCUGCUUUUGUGGGGUGCUCGAGUGGCGAACGGGUGAGUAACACGUGAGUAACCUGCCCUUGACUUUGGGAUAACUUCAGGAAACUGGGGCUAAUACCGGAUAGGAGCUCCUGCUGCAUGGUGGGGGUUGGAAAGUUUCGGCGGUUGGGGAUGGACUCGCGGCUUAUCAGCUUGUUGGUGGGGUAGUGGCUUACCAAGGCUUUGACGGGUAGCCGGCCUGAGAGGGUGACCGGCAACAUGGGGACGGGGAUACGGCCCAGACUCCGACGGGAGGCAGCAGUGGGGAAUAUUGCACAAUGGCGGAAGCCUGAUGCAGCAACGCCGCGUGCGGGAUGACGGCCUUCGGGUUGUAAACCGCUUUCGCCUGUGACGAAGCGUGAGUGACGGUAAUGGGUAAAGAAGCGCCGGCUAACUACGUG